rnacentral:rRNA from 1 species
GGUUAAGCGACUAAGCGUACACGGUGGAUGCCCUGGCAGUCAGAGGCGAUGAAGGACGUGCUAAUCUGCGAAAAGCGUCGGUAAGGUGAUAUGAACCGUUAUAACCGGCGAUGUCCGAAUGGGGAAACCCAGUGCAAUUCGUUGCACUAUCGUUAACUGAAUACAUAGGUUAACGAGGCGAACCGGGGGAACUGAAACAUCUAAGUACCCCGAGGAAAAGAAAUCAACCGAGAUUCCCCCAGUAGCGGCGAGCGAACGGGGAGCAGCCCAGAGUCUGAAUCAGCUUGUGUGUUAGUGGAACGGUCUGGAAAGUCCGACGGUACAGGGUGAUAGUCCCGUACACCAAAAUGCACAGGCUGUGAACUCGAAGAGUAGGGCGGGACACGUGGUAUCCUGUCUGAAUAUGGGGGGACCAUCCUCCAAGGCUAAAUACUCCUGACUGACCGAUAGUGAACCAGUACCGUGAGGGAAAGGCGAAAAGAACCCCGGCGAGGGGAGUGAAAAAGAACCUGAAACCGUGUACGUACAAGCAGUGGGAGCACCUUCGGGUGUGACUGCGUACCUUUUGUAUAAUGGGUCAGCGACUUAUAUUCUGUAGCAAGGUUAACCGUAUAGGGGAGCCGCAGGGAAACCGAGUCUUAACUGGGCGUUAAGUUGCAGGGUAUAGACCCGAAACCCGGUGAUCUAGCCAUGGGCAGGUUGAAGGUUGGGUAACACUAACUGGAGGACCGAACCGACUAAUGUUGAAAAAUUAGCGGAUGACUUGUGGCUGGGGGUGAAAGGCCAAUCAAACCGGGAGAUAGCUGGUUCUCCCCGAAAGCUAUUUAGGUAGCGCCUCGUGAAUUCAUCUUCGGGGGUAGAGCACUGUUUCGGCUAGGGGGUCAUCCCGACUUACCAACCCGAUGCAAACUACGAAUACCGAAGAAUGUUAUCACGGGAGACACACGGCGGGUGCUAACGUCCGUCGUGAAGAGGGAAACAACCCAGACCGCCAGCUAAGGUCCCAAAGUCAUGGUUAAGUGGGAAACGAUGUGGGAAGGCACAGACAGCCAGGAUGUUGGCUUAGAAGCAGCCAUCAUUUAAAGAAAGCGUAAUAGCUCACUGGUCGAGUCGGCCUGCGCGGAAGAUGUAACGGGGCUAAACCAUGCACCGAAGCUGCGGCAGCGACACUAUGUGUUGUUGGGUAGGGGAGCGUUCUGUAAGCCUGCGAAGGUGUGCUGUGAGGCAUGCUGGAGGUAUCAGAAGUGCGAAUGCUGACAUAAGUAACGAUAAAGCGGGUGAAAAGCCCGCUCGCCGGAAGACCAAGGGUUCCUGUCCAACGUUAAUCGGGGCAGGGUGAGUCGACCCCUAAGGCGAGGCCGAAAGGCGUAGUCGAUGGGAAACAGGUUAAUAUUCCUGUACUUGGUGUUACUGCGAAGGGGGGACGGAGAAGGCUAUGUUAGCCGGGCGACGGUUGUCCCGGUUUAAGCAUGUAGGCUGGUUAUCCAGGCAAAUCCGGAUAAUCAAGGCUGAGGUGUGAUGACGAGGCACUACGGUGCUGAAGUAACAAAUGCCCUGCUUCCAGGAAAAGCCUCUAAGCAUCAGGUAACAUCAAAUCGUACCCCAAACCGACACAGGUGGUCAGGUAGAGAAUACCAAGGCGCUUGAGAGAACUCGGGUGAAGGAACUAGGCAAAAUGGUGCCGUAACUUCGGGAGAAGGCACGCUGGUGUGUAGGUGAAGUCCCUGCGGAUGGAGCUGAGACCAGUCGAAGAUACCAGCUGGCUGCAACUGUUUAUUAAAAACACAGCACUGUGCAAACACGAAAGUGGACGUAUACGGUGUGACGCCUGCCCGGUGCCGGAAGGUUAAUUGAUGGGGUUAUCCGUAAGGAGAAGCUCUUGAUCGAAGCCCCGGUAAACGGCGGCCGUAACUAUAACGGUCCUAAGGUAGCGAAAUUCCUUGUCGGGUAAGUUCCGACCUGCACGAAUGGCGUAAUGAUGGCCAGGCUGUCUCCACCCGAGACUCAGUGAAAUUGAACUCGCUGUGAAGAUGCAGUGUACCCGCGGCAAGACGGAAAGACCCCGUGAACCUUUACUAUAGCUUGACACUGAACAUUGAGCCUUGAUGUGUAGGAUAGGUGGGAGGCUUUGAAGCGUGGACGCCAGUCUGCGUGGAGCCAACCUUGAAAUACCACCCUUUAAUGUUUGAUGUUCUAACGUUGGCCCCUGACCGGGGUUGCGGACAGUGUCUGGUGGGUAGUUUGACUGGGGCGGUCUCCUCCCAAAGCGUAACGGAGGAGCACGAAGGUUAGCUAAUCCUGGUCGGACAUCAGGAGGUUAGUGCAAUGGCAUAAGCUAGCUUGACUGCGAGCGUGACGGCGCGAGCAGGUGCGAAAGCAGGUCAUAGUGAUCCGGUGGUUCUGAAUGGAAGGGCCAUCGCUCAACGGAUAAAAGGUACUCCGGGGAUAACAGGCUGAUACCGCCCAAGAGUUCAUAUCGACGGCGGUGUUUGGCACCUCGAUGUCGGCUCAUCACAUCCUGGGGCUGAAGUAGGUCCCAAGGGUAUGGCUGUUCGCCAUUUAAAGUGGUACGCGAGCUGGGUUUAGAACGUCGUGAGACAGUUCGGUCCCUAUCUGCCGUGGGCGCUGGAGAAUUGAGGGGGGCUGCUCCUAGUACGAGAGGACCGGAGUGGACGCAUCACUGGUGUUCGGGUUGUCAUGCCAAUGGCACUGCCCGGUAGCUAAAUGCGGAAGAGAUAAGUGCUGAAAGCAUCUAAGCACGAAACUUGCCCCGAGAUGAGUUCUCCCUGAGACUUUAAGUCUCCUGAAGGAACGUUGAAGACGAUGACGUUGAUAGGCCGGGUGUGUAAGCGCAGCGAUGCGUUGAGCUAACCGGUACUAAUGAACCGUGAGGCUUAACCUU